rnacentral:rRNA from 2 species
CGUGUGUGAAGAAGGCCUUCGGGUUGUAAAGCACUUUCAGUUGUGAGGAAAAGUUAGUAGUUAAUACCUGCUAGCCGUGACGUUAACAACAGAAGAAGCACCGGCUAACUCCGUGCCAGCAGCCGCGGUAAUACGGAGGGUGCGAGCGUUAAUCGGAAUUACUGGGCGUAAAGCGCACGCAGGCGGUUUGUUAAGCUAGAUGUGAAAGCCCCGGGCUCAACCUGGGAUGGUCAUUUAGAACUGGCAGACUAGAGUCUUGGAGAGGGGAGUGGAAUUCCAGGUGUAGCGGUGAAAUGCGUAGAUAUCUGGAGGAACAUCAGUGGCGAAGGCGACUCCCUGGCCAAAGACUGACGCUCAUGUGCGAAAGUGUGGGUAGCGAACAGGAUUAGAUACCCUGGUAGUCCACACCGUAAACGCUGUCUACUAGCUGUGUGUGCCUUUAAGGCGUGCGUAGCGAAGCUAACGCGCUAAGUAGACCGCCUGGGGAGUACGGCCGCAAGGUUAAAACUCAAAUGAAUUGACGGGGGCCCGCACAAGCGGUGGAGCAUGUGGUUUAAUUCGAUGCAACGCGAAGAACCUUACCUACACUUGACAUGCUGAGAAGUUACUAGAGAUAGUUUCGUGCCUUCGGGAACUCAGACACAGGUGCUGCAUGGCUGUCGUCAGCUCGUGUCGUGAGAUGUUGGGUUA